UAGUCCACGCCGUAAACGAUGGUUACUAGCUGUUCGGACUUCGGUCUGAGUGGCUAAGCGAAAGUGAUAAGUAACCCACCUGGGGAGUACGUUCGCAAGAAUGAAACUCAAAGGAAUUGACGGGGGCCCGCACAAGCGGUGGAGCAUGUGGUUUAAUUCGAUGAUACGCGAGGGACCUUACCAGGGCUUAAAUGUAGAUUGACAGGUUUAGAGAUAGACUUUUCUUCGGACAAUUUACAAGGUGCUGCAUGGUUGUCGUCAGCUCGUGCCGUGAGGUGUCAGGUUAAGUCCUAUAACGAGCGCAACCCCUGUUGUUAGUUGCCAGCGAGUAAUGUCGGGAACUCUAGCAAGACUGCCGGUGCAAACCGCGAGGAAGGUGGGGAUGACGUCAAAUCAUCACGGCCCUUACGUCCUGGGCCACACACGUGCUACAAUGGCGAUGACAGUGAGCAGCUAACCCGCGAGGGCAAGCUAAUCUCUAAAAGUCGUCUCAGUUCGGAUCGUUCU
rnacentral:rRNA from 1 species